rnacentral:misc_RNA from 1 species
UGGAGGGCACCGAGCAGCAGG